GAUGAACGCUGGCGGCGUGCCUAAUACAUGCAAGUCGAGCGAACGGACGAGGAGCUUGCUCCUCUGACGUUAGCGGCGGACGGGUGAGUAACACGUGGAUAACCUACCUAUAAGACUGGGAUAACUUCGGGAAACCGGAGCUAAUACCGGAUGAUAUAUUGAACCGCAUGGUUCAAUAGUGAAAGACGGUUUUGCUGUCACUUAUAGAUGGAUCCGCGCCGCAUUAGCUAGUUGGUAAGGUAACGGCUUACCAAGGCAACGAUGCGUAGCCGACCUGAGAGGGUGAUCGGCCACACUGGAACUGAGACACGGUCCAGACUCCUACGGGAGGCAGCAGUAGGGAAUCUUCCGCAAUGGGCGAAAGCCUGACGGAGCAACGCCGCGUGAGUGAUGAAGGUCUUCGGAUCGUAAAACUCUGUUAUUAGGGAAGAACAAAUGUGUAAGUAACUAUGCACGUCUUGACGGUACCUAAUCAGAAAGCCACGGCUAACUACGUG
rnacentral:rRNA from 1 species